GCUACGGUAGCCUAGUGGUUAGAGCGUCCGUCUCGGAUGCGAGAGGUCGUGGGUUCGCUCCCACAGUCGAGUCAUACCA